GAAAUGCGAUAAGUAGCACGAAUUGCAGAGCCUCAUGAGUCAUCGAAUCUUUGAACGCACAUGGCGCCCCCUCGCACUCGGGGGGGGCAUGCCUGUCCGAGCGUCAGUGAGCCCCCUCAGGCCCCCCCGCCUGGUGCUGGGCCAGGCCGCGCCCCCGCGCGCGGCCGGCCCCAAAUCGAGUGGCCGCCCCCCCCGGGCCCCCGGCGUCGUCCAAGCCCCGCCGCGGGACCCAGGUCCGGCGCGCCAGAAGCCCCUCCAGUCAGACCUCGGAUCAGGUAGGGAUACCCGCUGAACUUAA
rnacentral:misc_RNA from 1 species